UUUAAUUGAAGAGUUUGAUCAUGGCUCAGAUUGAACGCUGGCGGCAGGCCUAACACAUGCAAGUCGAGCGGCAGCACAGAGAAACUUGUUUCUCGGGUGGCGAGCGGCGGACGGGGGAGUAAUGCCUGGGA
rnacentral:rRNA from 1 species